GACGAACGCUGGCGGCGUGCUUAACACAUGCAAGUCGAACGGAAAGGCCCUGCUUUUGUGGGGUGCUCGAGUGGCUAACGGGUGAGUAACACGUGAGUAACCUGCCCUUGACUUUGGGAUAACUUCAGGAAACUGGGUCUAAUACCGGAUAGGAGCUCCUGCUGCAUGGUGGGGGUUGGAAAGUUUCGGCGGUUGGGGAUGGACUCGCGGCUUAUCAGCUUGUUGGUGGGGUAGUGGCUUACCAAGGCUUUGACGGGUAGCCGGCCUGAGAGGGUGACCGGCCACAUUGGGACUGAGAUACGGCCCAGACUCCUACGGGAGGCAGCAGUGGGGAAUAUUGCACAAUGGGCGGAAGCCUGAUGCAGCAACGCCGCGUGCGGGAUGACGGCCUUCGGGUUGUAAACCGCUUUCGCCUGUGACGAAGCGUGAGUGACGGUAAUGGGUAAAGAAGCACCGGCUAACUACGUG
rnacentral:rRNA from 1 species